GAUGAACGCUGGCGGCGUGCCUAAUACAUGCCAGUCGAGCGAACGGACGAGAAGCUUGCUUCUCUGAUGUUAGCGGCGGACGGGUGAGUAACACGUGGAUAACCUACCUAUAAGACUGGGAUAACUUCGGGAAACCGGAGCUAAUACCGGAUAAUAUUUUGAACCGCAUGGUUCAAAAGUGAAAGACGGUCUUGCUGUCACUUAUAGAUUGAUCCGCGCUGCAUUAGCUAGUUGGUAAGGUAACGGCUUACCAAGGCAACGAUGCAUAGCCGACCUGAGAGGGUGAUCGGCCACACUGGAACUGAGACACGGUCCAGACGCCUACGGGAGGCAGCAGUAGGGAAUCUUCCGCAAUGGGCGAAAGCCUGACGGAGCAACGCCGCGUGAGUGAUGAAGGUCUUCGGAUCGUAAAACUCUGUUAUUAGGGAAGAACAUAUGUGUAAGUAACUGUGCACAUCUUGACGGUACCUAAUCAGAAAGCCACGGCUAACUACGUG
rnacentral:rRNA from 1 species